rnacentral:rRNA from 1 species
UUAAAUUGAAGAGUUUGAUCAUGGCUCAGAUUGAACGCUGGCGGCAGGCCUAACACAUGCAAGUCGAACGGUAACAGGAAGCAGCUUGCUGCUUCGCUGACGAGUGGCGGACGGGUGAGUAAUGUCUGGGAAACUGCCUGAUGGAGGGGGAUAACUACUGGAAACGGUAGCUAAUACCGCAUAAUGUCGCAAGACCAAAGAGGGGGGACCUUCGGGCCUCUUGCCAUCGGAUGUGCCCAGAUGGGAUUAGCUUGUUGGUGGGGUAACGGCUCACCAAGGCGA